AUAUUAUAUAAUGACUGUAGGCUGCGCAGCCGGUCACCGGCUUGUGUGUCGUCUGUCAGGAUGAAGGUAUACCUAGCAGCCGUGGUAGCCCUGGCAUGUAUCAUUUCCAAUAUCGGUGGGUCCCACUUGAGACUCCGUAAUCGGUCACUCGCACUGACAAAGUCUUACCUCAACAGGGGAUGUCCAGUUCUAACAUGUGACAAGUUGAACCGAAGGAUCCCCUCCCGAUGCCGAAUUCCAGACAUAUACCGAUUCCGGGGCCGGUUGUGUCGAGGUUGCUAUGUAAAUCUGUGUGUAGGAUACCUUUACAACACUAAUAAAAAAGGAAGGAUGACUGCGGGAUAAUCGAGUUCAGGAAGCAUUCUGUCAGACAUUAUUAAACAGCUGUUUAUCACGAACCGUGCCCCAGCAUCACAUCGCCCUGCGCAAGUGAUUCGUGUUUUUAAAUCCAGUUUCAUUUGCAAUGCGUUUCAUGUCUUAAAUGCGAAAUAUCUAUAAAAUACCUUUUUUUCAUUUUCAGAGAGAUUGUUUUGACUUGUAUACUAUCAUGAUAUCAAAACGUAACCAUCACCUGACAAGUUAUGUUAUUUUGUAAUGGCAUAUUUAAAUUGAUGGCGAAUUACAAAAAUGUAGCAACAAAUCCAAACUUACAUCUACCAAUGAACGCAUGCGUAUUAUAUAUAUCCGGUGAGGCAUUACUUCCAGUGAUUGAGUGAUUGUGUCUUAGUUUGAAGAAUAAUAAUGAGAGUACCUGGUGUAAUGGGGGUAUCUGGUGUAUUUAUUUCAAUUCUUUUGUAUGAGAUAAAAGUUAUACGUGUACAUGUAGCUUACUGGUUGAAUAACAAGGAAAUAUGCAAAUUUUGACCAUAUUUUAUGUUAAGUUGCCGAUUUAGUGAUUGUUCUAUUGCUGUUGUAUGACCUUGGCUGUUAAUAGGACGUUAAACCAAUAAAACCAAACCAAAGCAAUGCUGCUGCAAAAACGAAAAGUGCCAUAUUUUGUCGCUUAUAAAAGUUCCCUAUUUUGUCGCUAGUAAAAGCGUGGGUUUUUGCGAUACACACCUGUAUGACGACGCUUUGUAGGAUGAAAAUGUGCCUUUUUGUUUCAGUAAAUUUCAUUCUGCCGUAACAACAAUGCAAAGACUGAAAAUGUGCACCUUAGGUAUUAGCGAAGAAGACAGACAUUUCAGAAUACAACAGAUUUUUGGGGACAAAGUGUCAUCGAAAUAUGGUAGAUGAUACUUUGGCGAUGACAAGUGUCAGUGGAAGACAUAAAACAGUGCAUUUCUCAUUUUGUGUCUACAUAACAAAAACGUGGUCUAAUAUGUAUUUCGUGCGUUCCGGUGGUAGUUUCAGCUCAGGUAAAUAUACAUUCCAAAUUACGUUAGCAGACUAAUUCAACACUGUCGGAUGCGUUGAUUAAUACAUAUGUUGCAAUGUCAUAUUUUAUCAGUAUUGGUAAAAGUUGCUAGUUCAUGGCAUGUUCAAUUAGACUGUCGGCUGACAGUGUUGACAUCUGAGUGACUUAGACGCUUGAAUGAGUAAGACUAAAUUAUGUAACGUCAUAGUUGUUCAAUGGUUUGCACGUGACCAAAUUCCGAAGCGUCACAGGUGUUCAAUAUUUCGCACGUGACCUUGUAUUAGUUCAGAAUAUACCUAUUGCGUAUAGUGAAGGAAAAUCAAACGCAUUAUGUUAUAAAUAUAAAUUGAUUGUGCGUAUACUGGUUGACAUAAUCAAGAGAAAAAUAAAAUGUAAUAUAAAGAAAUGACGUAGUGUACUGCCAUUUCAUCUGUCUCAAGUGUAAAUCUUACAAAUGUAGAUGACAACAUGAAUAUUCUAUUACAUGGAGAAACUCUGGUAUCCGGAAGUCUCCAGUAAAAUGAAUGUAUACAAAUGUUUGCAAAUACAGUCUUAGUUAAGUGCCCUAAAUGUUUCGGAUCCAAUGCAUGGGCUGUAUAUCCUCCCUUUCCUAUAUCUGACUAUGAUUGAUAACCUUCAUUAAGUAUACGUGUCCGUGCUGAUAAGAACACAUAGGUAAACGCCUUCAGCUUAUAGUUAUAAUCGUCAAGCCCAUACAUAAUGUUAUACAGCUCUAUCUACUUUCUGCAUGAUUUGUUGAAAAGCUCAUAGGAGGUGUCAGAAUGAGGGAAAAUAUUCUGUUUAAAGAACUAUAUAUUGAAACGGCUAUUACAUUUUAUUUUGCCCUUUUUUAAGACUAAAUUACAGGUUUAUGGUUUGGUCUUGUAUUUCUUGUAAAAUAGUUUCCAAUGAUCUAAAAUAGAUUAUUGUUAUUGAUGUAUUAUUAGCUGUAACUUGAGCAUGUAUAUCACAUCGAUAACACUUUGAUAUCAAUAUGUAUACAGUUUAUGACUGAAUUAGAAAAAAAAAACAGUUUUUAUGGCACGGACAUCCGUGCUGUGAAAAAGUUUUGGUAUUUAUUGUGAAGAUGGAUAUAUAUUGCAUGGGCUGGUGUGCGAAUAAUAUACAAAUAUAUUGUCAAGAUGCAUUUUGAUCUUGUGUAAGGUGAAAAUAUGAGCAAUGGGGACUUUUUGUGUGAAUAUUAUACAAAAGGAAUGUAUAAUAGUAUAUUUAUCUUGUAUCUGAUUUUUAAAUGAACGAUAUCGAGAUGGAUCGUGUGCCUGAAUAAGGCGUAAGACUUCUUAUGAACAUUGCAUGUAAAAUGUUUUUAUCUUGGAACGGUUAUACUGUGUUAAUAAAUACUGUUGGUAGUUGAUAUGUUUUUAUAUAUUCAUAUAAGGAGAUUAUAUUGUAAAUCAAAAAUUCAAAUACCCAUUGUGUUCGGCUUGGUAUUGUAACCUUAAACUGGAAAAUUAUUGUUCCAUUUCAGUUUGAUACAAUAUGCAAAUAAAUCAUUAGAUACUA